rnacentral:lncRNA from 1 species
UAGAAUUAACCCCCCCGUCUCUCACUUGCUCGCUCUUCCCCUCCCCACCGCGCAGCUCUCACAAGAGACUAAACCACCUCUCUGUUAGAGCGAAUGGCAGCAGGGCUGAGGCUGAGAGAAGAAGAAGAAAAAAUUGUUGCAUCUCCUCCCCACCCCCUUCUACACCCGCAGAGCCUCACCUAGAGGCAGCGUGAAUUUGGACGAGGACACGAGCUGGUUGCGAGGACACACAGAGGCAGGUUGGAGUUGAUGCACUUCCCUCAUUCCCUCAACCCUCUCAAUUGCAAAGGACUGAGCUGAGCCCCUUCAGCUCCUUCUGUGGCAGCGGGAAAGCUCAGAGCCUUUCCCUAUCAGGCCUUGGGUGUUUUCUUUCGCACUGGAUAGCUCCAUUACCUCCUAUCGAGUGAGGAAAGCUUUCAGAGCCAAAGCGGCUGAAAAGCCCUCCUUUCCGGGCACCUAACACUGGGACCUACCCAAGCGCUUCUGAAAGCCUUGAAUGGCCAGGCUCUCGCCGACUAGCCAAAAACAGGCACCGGCCAUCUGCCACCGUCGUAUCUGGACUUGACAUCUAAAUGGGUUCUCGUUGCAAUUGAGGAACGGUUUUGUCACGUGUUCUUUAAAGGCAACAGACGAGCAAAACGUGUGCGCGCGCGCACACACGUGCGCAAAAACGCGGCGGGGGGUAACCUGUUACCUGUACCUGACAAGCACAGUAUGCCAAGGGUGAAGAAACUGCCGCAUCCAAAAUGACCAAGGGAACAAAUCCUGCAAGGCAAACUUUCAAGAGUGAUUUCUCAGCUUGCUGCUGAUACAGAAGGGCAGGCACACCAAACCCAGGACCAAAAGGCCAGAGUCCAGAUUUCAAACCACUUCUGGGUAAAUCCGCAGAGAAGCAAAUCAAGAAACAAAGAGCAGCGCUCCUCUGAAGCACAGAAUUUCAUCCCUUCCUCGGGAAUGGCUAGGCAGUUAAAAGGAAAGGGGCUGUGCAUGUACCUCGAGCGAUUCCCUCUUCACCGAAUGGAGGAACAGGCUCCGUCCAGAGAGGUUGGAAAAGGGCUUCCUGCGGCAUCUCAUCUUCAGUUACGGCCUGAUUGAAAAAGUUGUGCAGAGUUUGGACCAGGCGCCUACGUCAUACAUACUUAGCAGGAGGCACUGACUUCUUAUAUAUGUGGCUUGUACAGCACAGAGCACCUGGCGCUUAACAAGUGGUAAGUAAUAAUAGCUGUCCACUAAAUGCAUAAAUGUUUUAAGU